AAAGUCUGACCUGCCCAAUGAGUAAUUUUUAAAUGGCUGCGGUAUUUUGACCGUACAAAGGUAGCAUAAUAAUUAGUUUUUUAAUUGAGAACUAGAAUGAAGGGUUAGACGAGAAAAUUACUGUCUCAAUUUAAUUUAAAUUUGAAUUUUAUUUUUAAGUAAAAAAGCUUAAAUAAGUUUAAAAGACGAGAAGACCCUAUAGAGUUUGAUAUUAUUUAUUUAUUUAUUAAAUUAAAGUAUUUUAUUUUAUUAUAAGUAUUAGUAUUUAAUUGGGGUGAUUAAAAAAUAAAUUUAACUUUUUUUCUAUUUUUACAUUGAUUUAUGAUUAUUUGAUCCA
rnacentral:rRNA from 1 species